GCCUGCUGCCAUGCCACCCUGAGCACACCCGAUCCCGGCUGACCUCAGAAGCUAAGCAGGGUCGGGCCGGUUAGUGCUUGGAUGGGAGACCACCCAGGAAGACCAGGUGCUGUAGGCU
rnacentral:rRNA from 1 species